AAUGUGGCGCAUGCCACGCUUUUGAAAGAUGGUUUCGGCUAUCGCUUACAGAUGGGCCCGCGGUGCAUUAGCUAGUUGGUAGGGUAAUGGCCUACCAAGGCAACGAUGCAUAGCCGACCUGAGAGGGGGAUCGGCCACACUGGGACUGAGACACGGCCCAGACUCCUACGGGAGGCAGCAGUAGGGAAUCUUCCGCAAUGGACGAAAGUCUGACGGAGCAACGCCGCGUGGAUGAAGAAGGGUUUCGGAUCGUAA
rnacentral:rRNA from 1 species